ACAGACUGGAGAUACCUUGAGAAUGACACAAACAGCAACAUUCGGCUGAAGGGGACUUCCACCGACAAUGACCUAGGAUUGCGUUUCUCUCCCAGGACCCGGAUGCAAACCGUACACAGUUUCAGGCCAUGUGGUGUGUGACGGAGCUGGGCUGGUGCCUUCCAGUGGAGACUCGAGUGGAGCCAUGUUUGCCACGGCAAAUUUCCAGUUUCACAUGGUGUGUGAUGUUACGGUGAGAAUGGGGAAAGAGGGGAACGAACACGGAGCACCUCCCCGGCGCUCGGCCUGGUCGCCUCAUGUCUCCUCCACAAGACCCCUUCAGCAAGGCAGUGGGGCUCCCUUCUUAGUGAGGGGACCUGAAGCUCUCGAGGUUACACGGCCGGGAAAGCUGAAAUCGGGGUUCUGAGCCAGUUCUGUCUCUGUAGUAUGCCCGUGGUUCGCCAUCAGAGGUGAGCAUCGGAAUGACUACAGAGCCGUUGAGGGACCUCCCCCAGCUUCUUGGCCCGGCCUCAGAAUCGGGGAAGGGGACGGUGCGUCUGGCACGCACACACUUCACAAAUGCCAUGCGGGAGGCUGCGAUGCCAGCACGUGAGAGCCGCCGGGUGCCCUCCUCUCUCACCGACGCAGGAGUUCCGGCACUUUCACUGGGCCGGGGGAGGUCUUGGUCAUGCUUUGCGCACGGUUAGAAUACCGUAAGUAGUAGCUGAUGGUGCAACUGAAAUGUUUCUUUGGCAAACAGAAUAUGGUUUUGGGCUGGUUCCCUUGCUGGGAGGGCAGCCUAGCCUGUUUGAUUGUAAGAUACAGAAAAAGAGCCUUUAAUAGAGGCUGAUGUUUGGUGUAUCCUGGCUGGUUGUACACACUAUUGCUCCUUCCAGUGUGAACAAGCCAAGACACAAGUCUGUCUCUAUGGGAUGGGGGUCUGCAGCUUUUUUAGCAACACCUGGAAAGCCAAAAUGAAUCCCUACGAUACAAGCAUAAUGGAUACUCACCACCUGGGAGGUUCAGCCAGGCAGGUGGGAUUUGCUGGUAGGGCAUGGGGCCGGGACUGGCACAGAGCAAGGGGCUGGGCUAGGGCCUGGGGAGCAGUCCCAUUUCUACCACUUUCUAGUGCUGUGACCCUGACAAGUUACCAUUUACGCUUUCUUCCUCAGUUUCUUCAACUGAUAAACAGGGAUACAGGCUUGUCAUGGGGAUUCAGUAAGUCAACAUAUGCCUAGAAUAGUGAUCAUUUAGAGCAAGAACAAUAAAGGUGAGGAAUUUAUGUUAUUAAACUUUGAUCUUGCACCCAAAAGUUUUCUGUGAUAAAAAAUACACAAUUCACUGUGCAAAAAGAAAGAUAAUACUGCAUAUCUGGGAAGUGUCUGAAGCACAGAAUAGUGCCUCAGUUCUGAACAUUCUACAGCUUUGAGAAUUCGUGUUAAAACACUUAGUUAUUUUCACUUUUGUCUUUGAAGCAUUUUUCAAACAAAAACGAAUUCGCACAAUAUUCUAGAGAUGCACGUGUGUGCUAAUACCCCAGUGUGGAAAAAGACGACUGGCCGCUGAGUUGAAGUGACCUGCCCAAAGCGUAGGGAGUCGUGGUGGGAGCUGGUAUUAACUGUUGGCAUUUGCCGGCUCCAAAUCUCGCACUCGGAACAUGACCCCCCAAGGUAACAAGAACCCCUGAGGGACUCUGGACAGCUCAGUGGGAGGGAGGCAACCACAGCUGGUCCCCGCACUCCAGACUGCAGCAAGGGCCCAAGAGCAGAGAAGGAAACAAAGUGGAGAUACUUACGCCAUGUUUAACAGUUUUUGCAGCGUGGGCAGCUUUCUUUUUUGCAUCAUAAUGAGUCAAAAUGUCAAUAAUUGCCAUAAA